rnacentral:rRNA from 1 species
UCGGAUGCUAAGCAGGGUCGGGCCUGGUUAGUACUUGGAUGGGAGACCGCCUGGGAAUACCAGGUGCUGUAAGCUU